ACAUUACUAGCAUUGCACAUAAACCACAUCCUUUAUCGAGAGGGCAAACACAAUACCACGGUGAUACUGAGACGAACGCUUGAAUACAAACGGUUAAAGCUCACUCAGGGUAGUGGUAGUAUGGUACACAAAAUGCACAUGACACGAGCGCUGUUUUGUAGGUUAACUACGCGGUACACCGUACAGCUAGCACGUAAUUUGUGCUAGAGCCCAUCACCAUCUACGGCACUAGCUUCUUCGCCGCCGGUUUCCGGCCGGGUUUGGGCCUGGCCUCCUGCAGCAUGGACAGCACGUCCCUCAUCGACGGCCG
rnacentral:lncRNA from 1 species